ensembl:lncRNA
CCGCAACCCACAUCCCACACCCCACAUCCCAUACCCCGCAACCCACACCCCACAUCCCGUACCAAACAUCCUGUACCCCAUACCCCACAUCCCGCACCCCACAUCCCAUACCAAACAUCCUGCACCCCACACCCCACAUUCCACACCCCACAUCCCGCACCCCACAUCCCACACCCCACAUCUCACACCCCACAUCCCACACCCUACAUCCCACACCCUACAUCCCACACCCUACAUCCCACACCCCACAUCCCAUACCCCGCAACCCACACCCCACAUCCCGUACCAAACAUCCUGUACCCCAUACCCCACAUCCCGCACCCCACAUCCCAUACCAAACAUCCUGCACCCCACACCCCACAUUCCACACCCCACAUCCCGCACCCCACAUCCCACACCCCACAUCUCACACCCCACAUCCCACACCCUACAUCCCACACCCUACAUCCCACACCCUACAUCCCACACCCCACAUCCCAUACCCCACAACCCACACCCCACAUCCCGUACCAAACAUCCUGCACCCCACACCCCACAUCCCGCACCCCACAUCCCAUAUCCUCCACCCCACAGCCAAAACUGUGCGACAGAACCAGGGGGGUUCCAUCCGCUGCAAAACAGGUCCUAAAUGGGUGCAGGCCCCAAAUGGAUGCAGGUCCUGAAUGGGGACGAGUCCCACAUGGGUGCGGGUCCCAGAUGAAUGCUCACCCCAAAUGGGUGCGGGUCCCGAAUGGAUUCAGGUCCCAAAUGGGUGCGGGUCCAAAAUGAGUUCAAAUCCUACAUGGGUGCACAUUCCAGACAGGUGUGGAUCCCAAAUGGGUGCAGGUCCCACGAGGGUUCAUAUCCCAAAUGGGUGCCCAUCCCAAAUAGGUGCGGAUCCCAAAUGGAUGCGGGUCCCAAAUAGGUGCAGAUCUGAAAUGGAUGUGGAUCCCAAACGGAUGUGGGUUCUAAAUAGGUGUGGAUCCCAAUGGGUCCCAGAUGGGUGCCCAUCCCAAACAGGUGUGGAUCCCAAUGGGUGCAGGCCCCAAAUGGGUGCCCAUCCCAAAUAGGUGUGGAUCCCAAUGGGUGCAGGUCCCAGAUGGGUGCCCAUCCCAAAUAGGUGUGGAUCCCAAUGGGCCCCAAAUGGGUGCCCAUCCCAAAAAGGUGCGGGUCCCAAUGGGUGCAGGUCCCGUACGGGUGCCAAUCCCAAAUAGGAGUGGAUCCCAAUGGGUGCAGGCCCCAAAUGGGUGCCCAUCCCAAAUAGGUGGGUGUGGAUCCCAAUGGGUGCACUGUGGGAACCGUCCUCUGCGGUGCUGUGUCCGAAGAGCGGCAGUCCUGGCAGCCGGAAUGGGGACAUCGGCACCAUAGGAGCGAUCCAACCCCAUAGUGCUGAUGCUUGGACAGCGGCAGCCCCAUAGGUGUGGGGCUGAGGAGGUCACUGUCUGCCCCGGGUGCAUCAAUCUCUCCAUCCUAAACUGCAGAGCGAAUGGUUUGGGUUUGUUGCAUCGGCUCUUUGGGUUUUGCACCAUUGCAGUGCCUGUGGGGCGGUCUGCUGCAUUGGUCCUUUGGGUUUUGCACCAUUGCAGUGCAGUGGGGUGUGUUUGCUGCAUGCAGUGUGUCUGUAGGACACGUUGUGGGUCAGACCUUUGGGUUUUGCACCGUUGCAAAGCCAAUGGAGUGUGUUUGCUGCACCCGGUGUGCCUGUGGGAUAUAUGUGGGUCCGCUCUUCGGGUACUGCACCACUGCAAAGGCAAUGGGGUGGGUUUGUUGCAUUGGCCUUUGAUAUUCUGCAGCACUGCAACGGCAGUGGGGUGUGUUUGCUGCACCGUGUGGCUGUAGGACACCUGUGGGUCGUUCCUUUGGGUGUUGCACCAUUGCAAAGGCAAUGGGGUGGGUUUGUUGCAUUGACCCUUUGGGUUUUGCACCAUUGCAACGUCAGUGGGGUGUGUUUGCUGCACCCGGUGCGCCUGUAGGAUAUAUGUGGGUCAGCUCUUUGGGUAUUGCACCAUUGCAAAGGCAAUGGGGUGGGUUUGCUGCACCUGGUGCAGCUGUGGGACACGUUGUGGGUCAGCUCUCUGUAUUUUGCACCAUUGCAAAGGCACUGGGGUGGGUUUGUUGCACCCGGUGUGGCUGUGGGGUAUAUGUGGGUCAACUCUUCGGGUAUUGCACCACUGCAAAGGCAAUGGGGUGGGUUUGUGGCAUCGACCCUUUGGGUUUUGCACCAUUGCAGUGCCAGUGGAGUGUGUUUGCUGCACCCGGUGCACCUGUAGGACAUGUGUGGGUUGGGCCUUUGGGUGUUGCACCACUGCAAAGCCAAUGGGGUGGGUUUGUUGCAUUGGCCUUUGAUAUUCUGCAGCACUGCAACAGCAGUGGGGUGUGUUUGCUGCACCCAGUGUGGCUGUAGGACACCUGUGGGUCGUUCCUUUGGGUUUUGCACCAUUGCAAAGCCAGUGGGGUGGGUUUGUUGCAUUGACCCUUUGGGUUUUGCACCAUUGCACAGUCAGUGAGGUGGGUUUCCUGCACCCGGUGCGUCUGUAGGAUAUAUGUGGGUCAGCUCUUUGGGUAUUGCACCAUUGCAAAUGCAAUGGUUUGGGUUUGCUGCGCCUGGUGCAGCUGUAGGACACGUUGUGGGUCAGCCCUCUAUUUUGCACCAUUGCAAAGGCACUGGGGUGGGUUUGUUGCGUUGGUCCUUUGGGUUAUGGGUCAUCACAAAGCCAGUGGGGUGGGUUUGCUGCAUUGGCCCUUUGGUUUUGCACUGUUGCAGUGCCAGUGGGGUGUGUUUGCUGCACCCGGUGCACCUGUAGGACAUGUGUGGGUUGGACCUUUGGGUGUUGCACCACUGCAAAGCCAAUGGGGUGGGUUUGUUGCAUUGGCCUUUGAUAUUCUGCAACAGCAGUGGGGUGUGUUUGCUGCACCGUGUGGCUGUAGGACAUGUGUGGGUCAUUCCUUUGGGUGUUGCACCAUUGCAAAGGCAAUGGGGUGGGUUUGUGGCAUCGACCCUUUGGGUUUUGCACCAUUGCAACGUCAGUGGGGUGUGUUUGCUGCACCUGGUGCACCUGUAGGACAUGUGUGGGUUGGGCCUUUGGGUUUUGCACCAUUGCAAAGACAGUGGGGUGGGUUUGCUGCCCUGGGCUUUGGGUUCUGCAUCACUGCUUUGCUAACGGGACGGUUUGCUGCAUUGGUCCUUUGGGUUUUGCAUCACUGCAAAGCAUGAGGGGUGUUCCAAGCAUUCUGCCGUAGGGUCCCUCAGCUUUGGGGGCUCAGGUUGUUGUGCUGUUUCCAAUUCUAAGGAUCCUGAAUGGAAAUGGAGCGUAUUUCGGGGCCGGGUCUGAUGGGAUCCCUUUGCCCUUCCGAAGCAGUGGGGCGAUGGAAGCUCUUUGGCCAAACAAAUCACUCCAAGGGGUGAAUGUGGAUAUACCCCACGGACUGCGCUGCAAAGCAGUGGCUCCGAUUGCUCACAAAUCACUCUCAAACACACAGAGUUUGAACUGAUGUAAAAGGGAGAGGGAAAAUAAUCCCUUCGGUGUUGAACCCCCCCCUCCCCCCAGUAAGCAGAGCGGUGCACAGACUGUGUGAUCCUCGACUUCUUUGGGCCUGGGAGCAAUGGGAGCAACGGCCGUGUGCUGCACUUCUGGUGCAGUCCUGCAGGCUGAUUGGGUUGGGAGGGACCAUAAAGGUUAUGGAACCAUGGGGUCGCAGCGUGGUUGGGUUGGAAGGGGCCAUAUAGAUCAUAGAAGUGUGGGAUGACAGCGCACUUGGAUUGGACAGAACCUUAAAGGCCAUAAAAUCAUGGAAUGGUUGGUUCGGAAGGAACCCUACAGAUAAUAGAAGCGUGGGAUUGCAGUACGGUCGAGUUGGGAGGGAUCCCAUAAGAUCCCAUAAGUAGAACCGUGGGUGGAUUGGACGGGACCUUAAAGACCAUGAAACUGUGGAAUUGUUGGAACUGUGGGAUCCCAAUCAUUGGGUCGGAAGGGAC